rnacentral:lncRNA from 1 species
UGGCCCACACUUGGCAAGACAGAUCAUCCCACGGCAAAGAACUUCAAAGGAGCAUCAUUCCCAGAGGAUUUGUUCAUCGAUGUGUCACAGUCUAGCUACUGAGCCCGUGCACAGGAAGGAAACGGUCAGGUUCAGAGACCAAAACAUCUGUCCCUGUGCAUCUUGUAGAGUUGGGGAACUGGGACUCCUGUGACCCAUGUAGAUACAGUGCUUCCCUCUGACUCGAAGGGUUUGGCCCCCGACCCCGGAACGGCCUGAAGCUUGGACUGUCGGCCCUGCCCUUCUUCUGGGCUGGGAGAAAGGGCAGGCAAGAGGCCUUGGGGGUUGGGGCGGGAGACCGAAGGUGGAGAUGUGCCGCUGUGUACAGCCGACUUGCCUGCCCAUCACCCAAACACCAAGUUCCGCUCGCAGAGGAAGUGAGAGGUGUCCGAUUCGGUCUCCCAGAACGCAGCUGGGCUGCCUGAAACGAGCGCCGCGGCGACUCUGAAGGAGGUGUCAUCCCUGGGCCAGUACAGGAUUGAGUCACAGCAGCCGCCACUCCUGCGUCAAAAAUACUGGGCCAUUGUCCCAGGGAGUUUGGCCCCUCAGUCAAGUCAUUUCCGACCCGCAACCUGGAAUCCCAAUGAAGGAAAAAGGGGAGGAAAAGAAGCGGAAACCAGGAUGGCUAAGCAAGCCGAGGAAGACGAGCCCCGGCCAGCUGGAGUAGCACCUGAGUGUGCGACCCCACCCCCCACUGGGGCAUCUUCUCCUUGGUUACAUUCCAGACCCGGAAGCGAAUCCCGGCUGUAUGGUGUCCAAAGACCUACAAUCUGGGGGCAUUCCUUAAUAAAAAGAAUCCAAGAUUCUGAAAACAAACUUAAGUACAAAAGACACUCCCAGCAUCUCCCUGCUCUCACAGGGCCCCGGAAGCUCGUGUCCAGUCAGCUUUACGGACUGGAGGCUGGAGAUCCAAGACCAGGGUGCCAGCAUGGUCGGGUUCUGGUGAGAGCCCUCUUCCGGUUGCAGACUGUAGACUUCUCAUUGCAUCCUCUCAUGUGGUAGAAGUAAAUAGGACCUCACAAUGCACCUCUUACCCAGAGAGGCACGAUGAUUGUCUAAGAACACAGGCAAGCUGGCCGAGGCUGUCGGAUGGCGACCUGUGCUCUGAGGCUUUCCUGGGCUUCACUACAGGGGGGAAGAGCGACAUCCAGCGACCCUGAGCUCAGGGACCAAGAAAGAACACAAUCAAAAUAUCGUCCCACUUGCUGAC